rnacentral:lncRNA from 1 species
GACUAAGAGAAGUUUAGUGGAUACCAGGGCAAAGGUGGGGUGGGGGGUGGACAAAAAGGGUGAAGUGGUGCACCUACAACAUGACUAACAUUAAAGUACAAUUGAAAUUUCACAAGAUUGUAACCUAUCAAUAACUCAAUUAAAAUAAAAUAAAAUAAAAUAAAAUAAAAUAAAAAAUGAGGCCAAAAAAAAAAAAACACAAACAUAUUAUACUGCUAUACAAAAAUAUCUUUAUUCUAUAUGCUUUUUAAUUUUUUUAACUUUUGACCUUUUUUAUCAGAAACUAAGACACUAGCACUCACAUUAGCCUAUGCCUACACAGGGUCAGGAUUAUCAAUAUCUCUGUCUUUCACUUCCACAUCUUGUCCCACUGUAAUGUUUUCAGGGGCAAUAACUUGCAUGAAGCUUUCAUCUCCUAUAAUAACAAUGUCUUCUUCGGGAUUACUUCCUUAAGGACCUGCCUGUGGCUCUUCUCAAGGAGGUAUCACUCAUUUCAGAAAUAUGUCCAUGGUGGUUUGCUUGAUUUGUUCUUUUUUUCAUCAUAGUUUUACUUGUAAGUAGAUAAUGCACCAUGAACAUCCCUCUCUAUUAAUAAAAACCUUUCAAUGUUGAGAUUUAUGUUUUUAAACUUUUUAAGGAACUUGUUGAGGUCUGAAAAAGCUUCAGCUAAACCCUUCAUUGUGAAUUUUCUUGGAGGUUUUUCUUCUUCCACAGUUUCCUUUCCUCUUGCCUGUUCUUCAGCUAUGUGUUCCUGUUCCAGUUCCGGCUCCAACAACUUCUCGUUAGUUUCUCGGGAACCACCUUUAGAAACUCCUCAAUGUCAUCCUCAUCUGCACCCAAGUUAAAGUUGUUUGCUAUCUGAAUCACAGCUUUGUUGAUAUUUGCAACCUCCUCAUCCAUGGCAAAUCUCUUGAAGCCUUGGACAAACUUCAUGGGUGUCUUUUUCCACAUGUCAGUCAUAUACUCCUUAGUGAUAUCACCCUAAGCCCAAGCAAGGUUCUUGAGGCAGAAUUACAUCACUGUGUUCUCAGUGUCUUCUUCAGUUGCAGCAAUAGCCUAAGUCCUUGUCAGGCGGUAGGCCUUAAAAGCUGCUAUAACUCCUUGAUCCAUUGGUUGGAUCAAAAAGGUGGUGUUUGGAGGGAGAAACACCAUUUUUUAUAUUGCGAUGAAGAUCACCAAUAAAAAGAGAAUGACCAGGAGUAUUAUCAACAAUAAAUAAAAUCUUGAAAAGUAUGUUAUUCUCCAAACAGUACUUCUGCAUUUUGCUGGCUUAGUAAUUCAGGGGAGCAUUUUGGAAGAGGAGCUAGGUCAUCCAUGACUUCUUACUGCUUCUGUAGUACACUGGCAGCAUGUGCUUAUUGGUAUACUUAAAGACCCUGGGGUUCUCUCUGUGACAGAUCACAAAGGGUUCCAAUUUGUAGUCUGUAACAUUGUCUCCAAGCAAGACAGUUAUCCUGUCCUUAAAGCCUUUACAACCUGUCCUUGUCUUGGCCUCCUUAUGGUUGACAAUCGUUUCAGGCAUCCGUUUCCGGAACAGAGGGGUUUCAUCGAUAUUGAAUAUUUGCUCUGACAAGUAAUUUUCCUCCAUAAUCAGCUUACUUAGAGUUUCCAAAAAUUAUUCAGCUGCCUUCACAUCAGCACUUGCAGACUCACCACUCACUUUCACAUUAUGUAGUAAAUAACAGUUCUUGAAUCAUUUAAACCACCCAGAGCUAGCAGUAAGUUCAACAUCAUAGUCUGGUCUACCCUUUUCUUACAACAUCACAAACAAACCUUUUGCAUAGGUUAUGAUCAUCAGGAUGCUGAGAGGGAUAUGCUGCUAUGUCUGGUCUUCAAUCCAGGUCAUUAGAAAUUUCCCCAUGUCUGAUAUAGGCCCUUCUUUUAGUCUCAUUGCCUUCAAUGAGGGAGAUUUUUUUUAACAGCUUCCAUCUCUUUGUUUUUGUUCUUCAAAAUCGUAGCUAUGGUGGAAUGGGACAUACCUGACUGGCUAGCAAUAACCAUCACUGAUUUUCCCUUUUUGUAGUCUUUUUUGUUUUUAAUUUCCUUUCCAGGUCAGUCACUCAACAUGGCCUCUUACUGGCAACAUUAGCAGUGGGAUUUGUUUGCUUAGGGGCUGUAAUGAACACAGGACGAGAUUAAAUCAAGCACAAGGGAAAAUGAUAGAGUCAAGAGAUGCGUUAAGCAUGAGAUGUAUGAGGCUGCUGCCAGUGUAACAUGGCAUGCUGUUUUACAGUAAACUGUUUUUUUGUAUAUAGAAAGAGUAUACUCUAAAAUAAUGAGAAAAUAUAUAGUAUAGUAAAUAAAUACAUAAACCAGUAACAUAAUUGUUUGUUAUCAUUAUCAAGUAUUAUGUACUGUACAUAAUUGUAUGUGCUAUACUUUUAUGCAGCUGACAGUACUGUAGUUUGGUUUACAUCAGCAUCACCACAAAACCCUGAGUAAUGUGUUGCACUAUGAUGUUAUGAUGGCUAUGAUGUCACCAGGUGAUAGGAAUUUUUCAGUUCCAUUAUAUUCUUAUGAGAUCAUCGUUGUAUAGGUAGUUUAUCGUUGACUGAAACGUCAUUCUGUAGCACAUGACUGCAGUUGGAAGCAGUUUGUUUCUUUCUAG